AGUCAUCGAAUCUUUGAACGCACAUUGCGCCCUCUGGUAUUCCGGAGGGCACGCCUGUUCGAGCGCCAUUACACCCUCCAAGCUCUGCUUGAUGUUGGACGCUGUGUCUUUUAGGGGCACACGUCUGGAACUUGUAGGCGUCCGUCACUGUCGAGACACCGCGAGCGUAGCAAGACUUUUCUGGUCAUUUUUCGCUCUGUUGGGACUCCAGCGGACUGCCCCUUACGAUUAGUGGGGUAACCCUCUAAUCAUCUACUGAGUUUGGCCUCGGAUCAGGCGGGGAUACCCGCUGAACUUAAGCAUAUCAAUAAGCGGAGGAAAAGAAACCAACAGGGAUUGCCCCAGUAACGGCGAGUGAAGCGGCAACAGCUCAAAUUUGAAAUCUGGCGUCUUAGGCGUCCGAGUUGUAAUUUGCAGAGGGAGUCUCGGAUUUAGGAUCGGCCCAAGUGCCUUGGAACAGGAUACCAAAGAGGGUGAGAGUCCCGUAUCCGGCCGAUACCGACGUCCGUGUGAGACCCCUUCGACGAGUCGAGUUGUUUGGGAAUGCAGCUCUAAAUGGGUGGUAAAUUCCAUCUAAAGCUAAAUACUGGCCAGAGACCGAUAGCGCACAAGUAGAGUGAUCGAAAGAUGAAAAGCACUUUGAAAAGAGAGUCAAACAGUACGUGAAAUUGUUGAAAGGGAAGCGUAUGUGGGCAGACUUGACCGCGGGAUUCAGCUCGUCUUCUGGCGGGUGUACUUUCUCGUGGGCAGGCCAGCAUCGGUUUCGGGGGUGAGACAAAGGCGUCGGGAAUGUGGCUCGCUUCGGUGAGUGUUAUAGCCCUUCGUGUAAUGUCACCACCUGGGACCGAGGACCGCGUUUUUACGAGGAUGCUGGCGUAAUGGCCUCAUACGGCCCGUCUGAAACACGGACCAAGGAGUCUAACAUCUAUGCGAGUGUUUGGGUGUCAAGCCCGGGCGCGCAAUGAAAGUGAACGGAGGUGGGAGUCUUCGGACGCACCAUCGACCGAUCCCGAUGUCUUCGGAGGGAUUUGAGUACGAGCAUAGCUGUUGGGACCCGAAAGAUGGUGAACUAUGCGUGAAUAGGGUGAAGCCAGAGGAAACUCUGGUGGAGGCUCGCAGCGGUUCUGACGUGCAAAUCGAUCGUCAAAUUUGCGUAUAGGGGCGAAAGACUAAUCGAACCAUCUAGUAGCUGGUUCCUGCCGAAGUUUCCCUCAGGAUAGCAGUAGCGUUUUCAGUUUUAUGAGGUAAAGCGAACGAUUAGGGACCUAGGGGUUGAAACAACCUUUAUCCAUUCUCGAACUUUAAAUAUGUAAGAAGUCCUUGUUACUUUGUUGAACGUGGACACUCGAAUGCAACGUUACUAGUGGGCCAUUUUUGGUAAGCAGAACUGGCGAUGCGGGAUGAACCGAACGCGAGGUUAAGGUGCCGGAAUGCACGCUCAUCAGACACCACAAAAGGUGUUGGUUCAUCCAGACAGCAGGACGGUGGCCAUGGAAGUCGGAAUCCGCUAAGGAGUGUGUAACAACUCACCUGCCGAAUGAACCAGCCCUGAAAAUGGAUGGCGCUCAAGCGUGUUACCCAUACCUCGCCGUGUAUUCUGGUAAUUCUGAGUACACGAGUAGGCAGGCGUGGAGGCCCGUGACGAAGC
rnacentral:rRNA from 1 species